CUUCUCUGGAGGAAGCAACCCUGCACAGAGGGAAAGAAGAAUCUCAACAUACAGUCCUCAGCAGCUUUAGCAUGGGCAACAAAUUAAGUCUCUGUAAAAGGCCCAAAGGACAGGGUUUGGUGAGAUUCUGGAGAGCUGGAAACAUGGAGGUUGACAGGAAUGUAAAGAAGAACUCAUUUACAUGCCAGGAGGGUGGAACACCCCAAUUCCAUGAGGAUAACUGCUCCUGUACUCCAGACCUCACCCCAUGUGUCUCUUCAUCUGGCUGGUUAUUUGUCCUUUAAGAUCUCCUUACUCAACCAGUAAAUGUGUCUUUACAUUGUUUUAGUCUUGAACUAGAAGAUGAAAGCAUCAAAUAAAGAAAUAUACUGUGGGUAUAUGGAUUACAAAAAAAGUGCUGGAUGUUCCAUGCCCUCAAACAUUGGACUCCAAGCUCUUCAGCUUUGGGACUUCAACUGGCUUCCUUGCUCCUCGGCUUACAGAUGGCCUAUUGUGGGACCCUGUGAUCGUGUGAGUUAAUAUGCCUUAAUAAACUCACCUUUAUACAUACAUCAAUCCUAUUAGUUCUGUCCCUCUAGAGAACUGUGACUAAUACAGAUUUUGGUACCAGGAGUGGUUCUAGAGGAAAAGAAUAUUAAAAAUGGAGUUCUUUUGUUGGUUUUCAGGUUUCUGGAGUUGGCUUCUUAAAGUGAUUAGCCAUAAAAAUGCUAAGGACUCUAAUUCUAAUAGUAUGGAGAACAGACAGUCCUUGGUGUGAACAAUUUAGAGAGUUAUUAUGCAAAAUAAAUGCAUUUGAUACUCUUGAUUCACCGCUCAUGAAAGGCAAGGAGUUUAGUGACUCAAUACCUAAUACCUUUGACCAUAUGUGGAGAACCAAGGAACAUAAUGAAGUUGGUUGGUUG
rnacentral:lncRNA from 1 species